UACGAAGGGGGCUAGCGUUGCUCGGAAUUACUGGGCGUAAAGCGCACGUAGGCGGCUCUUUAAGUCGGAGGUGAAAUCCUGGAGCUCAACUCCAGAACUGCCUUCGAUACUGUAGAGCUUGAGUUCGGGAGAGGUGAGUGGAACUGCGAGUGUAGAGGUGAAAUUCGUAGAUAUUCGCAAGAACACCAGUGGCGAAGGCGGCUCACUGGCCCGAUACUGACGCUGAGGUGCGAAAGCUAGGGGAGCAAACGGG
rnacentral:rRNA from 1 species